CUCCGCACAGCAAACGCAGCCGGUGGGUGUUGACGGACGACGGAGCAUGCAGCGGAUAACCAGCGCUGCCGUUCCGCAACGGACACGCAUCCAGUGGAAUUCCGGCGUAGUCUGCGCUUUCCUCAUAGGCAGCUGCAAGCCAAUGUCAUCCACUCUCACUGUGCUGGAGUGGGUGUCCCAUUGAGCACAGAGAGGACAGGCAUGCUACUGGUUCUGAGAGUCAAUGUCCUUGCGAAAGGCCACAGUGGCGUCUCCAUGGACAUCCUUGACACUAUGAUGAAGGCCUUCAAUGGAGCACUGGGUGGUGGAGGAGCAGUGAUGCUGCAGGACCACUGUGUGAGAGAGGACGCUGCAGAUAAGUGCUGAGUCGACCUUGGUGAGACUUAAAACUUAACAAGCACAAGAACAACAGGGGGAUGCAAUGGAGCCUGAACUCACCCUGCAAUGAACAACCCCCUUACCCUGAGUCUCAACUCCGUGGGUUUUGCAAGCCUUUCCCUGUUCCUUAUUUUUAAUAAACCAAACACUGAGAUUCC